GAGGAGCCCGCGUCCGAUUAGCUAGUUGGCGGGGUAACGGCCCACUAAGGCGACGAUCGGUAGCCGGCCUGAGAGGGCGGACGGCCACACUGGGACUGAGACACGGCCCAGACUCCUACGGGAGGCAGCAGUGGGGAAUUUUUCGCAAUGGGGGAAACCCUGACGAAGCAACGCCGCGUGGAGGAUGAAGGCCUUCGGGUCGUAAACUCCUGUCGACCGGGACGAACGUAGUCCGGCCCAAUACGCCGGGCUAUCGACUGUACCGGUGGAGGAAGCCACGGCUAACUCUGUGCCAGCAGCCGCGGUAAUACAGAGGUGGCAAGCGUUGUUCGGAAUUACUGGGCGUAAAGGGCGCGUAGGCGGUUCGUUAAGUCCUGUGUGAAAUCCCCCGGCUCAACUGGGGAACUGCACAGGAAACUGGCGGGCUUGAGUUCGGGAGAGGGAAGCGGAAUUCCGGGUGUAGCGGUGAAAUGCGUAGAUAUCCGGAGG
rnacentral:rRNA from 1 species